rnacentral:rRNA from 1 species
UCCAUGCAGUCGAGCGGAUGAAGGGAGCUUGCUCCUGGAUUCAGCGGCGGACGGGUGAGUAAUGCCUAGGAAUCUGCCUGGUAGUGGGGGACAACGUUUCGAAAGGAACGCUAAUACCGCAUACGUCCUACGGGRGAAAGCAGGGGACCUUCGGGCCUUGCGCUAUCAGAUGAGCCUAGGUCGGAUUAGCUAGUUGGUGAGGUAAUGGCUCACCAAGGCGACGAUCCGUAACUGGUCUGAGAGGAUGAUCAGUCACACUGGAACUGAGACACGGUCCAGACUCCUACGGGAGGCAGCAGUGGGGAAUAUUGGACAAUGGGCGAAAGCCUGAUCCAGCCAUGCCGCGUGUGUGAAGAAGGUCUUCGGAUUGUAAAGCACUUUAAGUUGGGAGGAAGGGUUGUAGAUUAAUACUCUGCAAUUUUGACGUUACCGACAGAAUAAGCACCGGCUAACUCUGUGCCAGAGCCGCGGU